GUCUCCGGCCUGCCCCCCUGAACAUGCCUGAUCCCAUCUGAUCUCGGAAGCUAAGCACGGUCGGGCCUGGUUAGUUCUUAGAUGGGAGACCACCUAGGAAGACCAGGUGCUGUAGGUG
rnacentral:rRNA from 1 species